rfam:Neotoma lepida isolate 417 scaffold_2650, whole genome shotgun sequence.
GGAGAGAUGGCUCAGUGGUUAAGAGCACUGGCUGCUCUUCCAGAAGGCCUGGGUUCAAUUCCCAGUACCUGCA